CAGAAGGAGGAGGAGGAGGAGGAAAAAAUGUUGGUAAAACUGCUAUAGGAGGAUGUUCAGUCCAUGGCACUGGAAGAAAUUGAAGAAGUUGGGGUCUGGCAAUCUGGAGUAGUCACCCUGGUUUAAUCUGGUGCCGAUGAGAAGCUCACAAAGAAGGCAUGGAUGCAAUCACAACUUCCUUUUCAUAUAUUCCCCAGCAGCUGAUACUUGGAGGCAUUACUGAAGCUGCCCUAAUUUUGCCUACAACCGUGGGAUUUCAUGGUGAUAUUUCAAACGGGUACUACCCCGCUCUAAGAACCCUGCUUAGUUUGGGGGAUCAGACAAAGCCAAGAGCGGCCUCUUCCAGUCACGAGCGCUGAAAAGAUUCAUGCGCCAGCUGCUCUCUUCUCCACUGGGGUCAGGUGAGAACCUUUUUAAAAACCCUCCGAUGCCUUUUCGGCUUUCAAGGUUUCAUUGUUUUAAACUGCUGCUUUUCACUGCUGUUUUAUUGCCUGUUUUUAUGUUCCUAGUCUGUUUUUAUGGUGGCUGGUCUUGUUCAUUGCCCCAGGAACUAAUUACUUGAAUGGCAGUAUUUAAAUAUACUACAUAAAGGCCCCUCUUCUUAAGGAAGGAAAUGCAGUCUUGGAGAGAGGAGGUUUAGCUCAGCUCUACAAUUAUGGUCCGUUUCUCUCUCUCCUCCAACUCUGACCUUUUCAGUUCUUUGCGAUGGCUAAAUAUAUGUUUUAUAAUGCAACUUUCAUUCCUUUGCAAAUGCGCUAGAACAGAUGGAUAAAGAAUGAUUUUCUGCUUCGAAAGUACCUCAGAUUUUCAGGAAGCCAGAGGCUGGGGGAGGGGAGCCACAGUAAAUGGCAGCCUAGCAGUAUAAAAACUGAUCUGUUCUCAAAAAGGGGAUGCUUUCACCCUUAGCUGGCAGUUGUUGACACCGUUAUUCAUAUGUGCAACUGAUGUUUUGCUUUUUGUUUUCCUAAACAGAUAAGAAAGUGAUGGCUCUGUUGCCAUGGGACAAGGGCCUCAAAGUGCUCUGGAGCUUAAAAGGUUACAGGGACAUUCUCUGUAUUAGAUCAGAGUUGUUCCCAACUUGAUCGUGCUGUGAAAAAAGUGUAUCAAAAUCACACCCUUGGAAAAUGGUAGGCCUUGAAGAAAUUGAGCAAUCAGCUAUAAAAGUCUGAUUUCCCAAGUGGGUGUUAUAAUAAAUUUAAAAGCUAACUCAUUAAUUGGUCUCAAAUUGACAUGGGAAACUGAUUUCCAGAAAGCCAUGGAUGAAACAGAACAGAAUAAAAUAGGGGGUCAGAAACCAAGUUUUCCUUCCUCAGCUAAAAUCAAGGACAGUUUGUUAAUUUUUCUCCCUAGACCCCUCCAAGUUAGUACAUAUGAAGACAAAGACAACCAACCCCUUUGGCCGGAAUGGGUUAAGGCAAAUGUAUUUCAACUCAGAUGUAUGACUUGUCUCCAAAUUUCUUCCUUCUGGUUGGAAAUAUUUUUAGAAAUGAGUAAGUAACAGAAAACAUGCUUGAGCUCACAAUUACGACUGUUAAAUUUGUCCUUCAGAGUCAAAUUGGGAUUUAACAUCUAACAAUUGGUUGUUUUCAUGCUAACGGCUGCUGGAAUGUCUCUAGACAAACAUGGAAAAAAAAACUAAGACCUUCAGUAUUUGGUAUUGACAUGUGUGGGUAUAGUGCCAUAGCUGAAAAACUAACUUUCAGUACUCAGUUAUGACAAGGCAGAGUUAAACCACUUACUUUUUUUAGUCAGGAGACAUAGUUGUUUUUAUUUUGCAAAUUUUAAAAAAUCAACUGAGUUUCCCCAGGGAUUGUCUAUGAGUUUGGUAAAAAGUUCAAGGAGAUUUGUGAGGAAAAUUAUUUUUGGUGACAUGUCAUACCUUUCCUUCUCCUCUUUUUAACAGCAUUGUUAGAGACCCAUAUAUGAAUACAAAUAUUUCAGCGGUGUAUUUUUUGUGAUAUUUUUAUAUUUUAAGUUUGGAUUUAGUAUGUGAAAUGUUAAGGUUUAAUAAAAUGAAUAUUUAAAAAGAAAAGAGCAAGCAAGACAAUCCUUUCUAAUUUGAAGAGGUAUAUUCCCAUU